UUUUCUGUAGGAGAGAGAGGAGAGACCCUGAAACACACGCCACCUAUCUUUGUGGGGAGGGAUAAUUGAAGAGCACCAAACGCUCUCCUUCACCCUUCAGGCUGACAAUUUCUGCAACUCCUAAAAGCACCCCAGCAGAGAUGCAUCCCCCAGAUAAAAUGCUCUGAUCUUCGCUGGACUGGCACAGCACUUCAGCCUCUCUCAGACAUUAUUUUAGCGUGGUGUGGAAGGUUGCAUUCUCCCAGGACAAAGACAUGAAGAGAUGGAAUGUGGCCCUUCUGACUUUAUAUUACUUAUCUAACUAAGGAUUGCUGGAUGGAGUCUAAAGAUCGUGAACUGGGACUUCAAGCUUACCCUUCAUAUUGAAGAUGGAGGAAAAGUAAAACAUGAUGAUUGCCUGAUAUCUUACCAUUAUUUGGAUUACUAAAGUUCUUCUGUAAAAAGCGAUGAAAUGGGAGCGCUGGACAUCUCUCGUGUCACUUGUGCAGUGACAAUGUCUGCUUUUUUGACUGACGUUCUGUUCCUCUGCUGACAUCUUCAUACCACACUUUAUUGACACAGUUUGACACUGUUUAGCAGAGGACAUGCCAUUUUUGAACUGUGUGAGGCAACCCAAAGAGGAAUGAAGUUAAAAGUUUGAAGAACAUCAUGAAGAGAAAAAAAAAACCUGAGCCGCAAAUAAAUAUGCAGUGUCGAGAUUUCUUAAGACCACCAGUUAACAAAACCAGAAAGGCUAUGCCUGCAACUACAAACAAAGAAAAGUUGCAAGACCCCUAGCAGCUGGUCAGCAGACCAAAGCUGGGAACUGACAGUACUACAUCUGCUGUAACAAUUGCCAUGUUAAGUUGAUUGUGGGAUUAUUGGAUAAACAAGGGCAACAUUAUACCUUUCAUGAAAAAUCUUGCAGGAGACAGAGGAUCCAGGAAAAUAACUGCUUUGGGUGCUCGGUGAUGAUGCUGCAUUAAUGGAUAUUCAUGCUUUUUGUAGCAUCCUAAACAGAAGGAUAUUGAAGGGAGCUGAUUCUGCUUUGAUCCUUAUGCUUGUUGUCAAAGCGCUUGGGAUUGAAGAGACUGUUGGCUACAAUUGACUGUGACAAUUAGGAGAUGAUCAGAGCCCUAGAGUGGAGCACUUAAAGGGGGAACCUCUAGUUCUGUGGUUGGCUUGCUGUAUGGGGAAGAAGAGGUGAAGAA